CUUCCACCUCGUGCAGGGCUCAGCAUCCCUGGGAAAUGAACUCUGUCCAUCUUGUCCUCCAGUCUGUGUCUCUCCAGGGGCCUGGAUCACCACCUCCAGGCCCC
ensembl:misc_RNA